rnacentral:tRNA from 1 species
GGUGAGGUGGCCGAGUGGUUGAAGGCGGCGCUCUCGAAAAGCGUUAUACCCCGUAAGGGGUAUCGUGGGUUCGAAUCCCUCCCUCACCG